rnacentral:rRNA from 1 species
AAGGUAGCGAAAUUCCUUGUCGGGUAAGUUCCGACCUGCACGAAUGGCGUAACGAUGGCGGCGCUGUCUCCACCCGAGACUCAGUGAAAUUGAAAUCGCUGUGAAGAUGCAGUGUAUCCGCGGCUAGACGGAAAGACCCCGUGAACCUUUACUAUAGCUUUGCACUGGACUUUGAAUUUGCUUGUGUAGGAUAGGUGGGAGGCUUUGAAGCGUGGACGCCAGUCUGCGUGGAGCCAUCCUUGAAAUACCACCCUGGCAACUUUGAGGUUCUAACUCAGGUCCGU